AUAAAACUAACGCCCUAGACCUGUACGAGUUUGUCAGCAAAAGGUUAAAGGGGGGAUGCGAUGCCUCUUUUUACAACGAAAAUAUAAAUUAAGCCGACUGGCCUAACUAAGAGAUUCUAUACGCGGGGUAUUAUAUCAGAGGAUGAGGUAGGCAUUACCUCUAACAUAGCCAUAACACGUAUGUCCCAGACCCGUGUAAGUUAAUCAGCAAAGGGUAAGGGGGGUACCUAAGUAUAUCACAAAGUCGAAAUAAACUAUUGCUGGCUGGCUAAACGAAGAGAUUCUCCACAUGGGCCAUGAUACCAGAGGUAG
rnacentral:lncRNA from 1 species